rnacentral:rRNA from 1 species
UUGACCUCAAAUCAGGUAGGACUACCCGCUGAACUUAAGCAUAUCAAUAAGCGGAGGAAAAGAAACUAACAAGGAUUCCCCUAGUAACUGCGAGUGAAGCGGGAAAAGCUCAAAUUUGAAAUCUGGCAGUCUUUUUUUUCUUCUUUGGCUGUCCGAGUUGUAAUCUAGAGAAGUGCUUACCUGCACUGGACCAUGUAUAAGUCUCCUGGAAUGGAGCGUCACAGAGGGUGAGAAUCCCGUCUUUGACAUGGACUGCCAGUGUGUUGUGGUGCGCUCUCAAAGAGUCGAGUUGUUUGGGAAUGCAGCUCUAAAUGGGUGGUAAACUCCAUCUAAAGCUAAAUAUUGGCGAGAGACCGAUAGCGAACAAGUACCGUGAGGGAAAGAUGAAAAGGACUUUGGAAAGAGAGUUAAACAGUAUGUGAAAUUGUUGAAAGGGAAACGCUUGAAGUCAGUUAUGUUGGCUAGGGAUCAACCUAGCUGUCUUUGCUGGGUGAAUUUCCUAGUCUGGCAGGCCAACAUCAGUCUUGACUGCCAGAAAAGAGCAGAGGGAAUGUGGCACCUUCGGGUGUGUUAUAGCCUUUUGUCAUAUGCGGCAGUUGGGACUGAGGGAUGCAGCGUGCCGCGAGGCUGGGUUUCGACCACGUUCACGCUUAGGAUGUUGGCUUUUAAUGGCUUCAAUCGACCCGUCUUGAAACACGGACCAAGGAGUCUAACAUGUCUGCGAGUGUUUGGGUGGAAAACCCUUGCGCACAAUGAAAGUGAAAGUUGAGAUCCCUGUCAUGGGGAGCAUCGACGCCCGGACCUGAGCUUUUAGCGAUGGAUCCGCGGUAGAGCAUGCAUGUUGGGACCCGAAAGAUGGUGAACUAUGCCUGAAUAGGGCAAAGCCAGAGGAAACUCUGGUGGAGGCUCGUAGCGAUUCUGACGUGCAAAUCGAUCGUCAAAUUUGGGUAUAGGGGCGAAAGACUAAUCGAACCAUCUAGUAGCUGGUUCCUGCCGAAGUUUCCCUCAGGAUAGCA